GUUUUAGUCUGCCGGCCCAGCAGCUACCUGGGCUAGAGCUGAGCAGGGCCCUGGGGAGAUGGCCGUGGUCACAGCAGCAGGGAGGACUGGAGAGACCACAUUGCCGCAGCCCCAUGUCUCAGACAGGGCUCCCUUCCCCAGCUGCACCCUGUGGAUGUGAUGGCAUCCCCUGCCCUGUCCUGGUACCUGUCCCUCCUCCUCCUCCUCCUGCCCCUGGCUAUCUGUUGGACGUCUGCAGCAGUGAAAGACACUUCCCAACUCACGUGCUUCUACAACUCGAGAGCCAACAUCUCCUGCACCUGGAGCCCAGAUGGGGGUCUGCAGGGCACAUCCUGUGAAAUUCAAGCCAAGUCAGUCCAACGGUCAGAGAGAACAUCAGCCUGUACUCUUCUCCAAGAGACACAGACAUCCUGGGCCUGUAACUUGAUCUUUGGAGGACCAGAGUCUCAGAAGCUGACCUCAUCUGACAUCGUUAACCUGAGGGUGAUAUGCCACGAAGGGAUGGUGGUGAUGAGCAAAGACUUCAAACCCUUUGAUAACCUUCGCCUGAUGGCUCCAGCAUCACUCAAAGUCGUCCGUGUAGGGACCCACAGUUGCAACAUAACCUGGGCCAUCUCCCAGAUCUCCCACUACAUAGAAAGCAAGUUGGAAUUUGAGGCCCGGAAACGGUCUCCAGGCCACAGCUGGGAGGAGGCCCCCCGGCUGGCCCUCAAGCAGAAGCAGCUGUGGAUCUGUCUAGAGACACUCACCCCAGACACCCACUAUGAGCUUCAGGUGCGGGUCAGGCGCCAGCCAGAUGACCAGCACUCGGUGGAGCUGUGGAGCCCCUGGAGCCAGCCUGUGGAUUUUAGGACAAAGCCUGAAGCCCCCAGGAAGGAGACCCCGCCCUUCCCUUGGAUCCACCACAUCAUCGGGAGCCUCAUCAGUGCCAUGUGCUUCAUCAUCUUAGUCUGCUUGCUGGUCAACUGCAGGUCCAUCGGGCCCUGGCUGAAGAAGUUUCUGAAGUGUCACAUCCCAGACCCCUCGGCGUUCUUUUCCCAGCUGAGCUCAGAGCAUGGAGGAGAUUUCCAGAAGUGGCUCUCGUCGCCCUUCCCCUCAUCCUCCUUCAGCCCUGGCGGCCCAGCCCCUGAGAUCUCCCCACUGGAAGUGCUGGAGAGGGACAGCAAGGCUGCACAGCUGCUGCUACUGCAGCAGGAGAAGGUGGCCUCGCCCUUGCCCUCCACCAGUGGCCACUCGCUCACCAGCUGCUUCACCAACCAGGGCUACUUCUUCUUCCACCUCCCGGAUGCCUUGGAGAUCGAGGCCUGCCAGGUGUACUUUACUUACGAUCCCUGCACAGAGGAGGAGGCCGAGGAGGAGCCCGAAGAGGCUGGGCCUGGGGUGCCCACAGGGCCUCCCCUCCCGCCCCUGCAUCCUCUGUCAGGGGAUGAUGAUGCUUACUGCACCUUCCCUCCUGGGGAGGACCUGCUGCUCUUCUCCCCCAGUCUCCUCAGUGGUCCCAGACCCCCAAAUACUGCCCUAGGGGGCAGUGGGGCUCAUGAAGAGAGGCCGCCCCCCUCCCUGCAAGAGGGAGUCCCUGGACACUGGGAUCUUCAGCCCCCGAGGCUUCCUACCCCAAGAGCUCCAGACCUGGUGGAUUUCCAGUCCUUUCCGGAGCUGGCGCUAGAAGAGGCUGGGGAAGAAGUCCUUGCCCCCGGCCCUGAAGAGGAGGCUGGUUUCCCCUGGCCCAGCCGUCCUGGGGAGGGCCAGGGCAGGGCCCUUAUCGCUUCCCUGAGCCCCAUCACUGAUGCUUACCUGUCCCUCCAAGAACUCCAGGAUCAGGACCCGGCUCACUCAGUGUAGAUAGAUGGCCAGGGGCGGGAGGCAGGAAACUGCCUGCUGCUACCCCAGGCCUGAGGGGGGCCCAGUUGAGGUCUCUGUUCUCAAGACUUGUCCAUUGCUGAAGGAACUUGGUGUCCAGCUGCCUCAGGGACAUCCCCACCCAGAUGGCCCCCCAGCCCUGCACACUCAGCUCAUCUACUUCCAAACCUCAACUGCUGCUCUCUGGUCCUGCUGCCCAAGCCAGGAAUUGUGGGGUGGGGGUUGUGGUGAAGUUGACUCCUCAACUCCCCCUUUAAUCUCUGGGGCCUUGAUCUCGCCAGCCCCCUUGAUGUGCAGACAUCAGUCCUUGUGGCUCUCCAGGGGUCUUUGCCUUGAUCUCUUCCCUGGGUUUCCUGCUCCAGCCUCCCCCUUCCCUGUCUCCCCCACGCUGCAUAGGGCAGCCAGAGUACACUUUCCACAACACAAACAUGGCCUGCUCUCCCCUAUUCAGAGCCCUGUCAUGGCUCCCCACCACCCUCAGCAUCACUUCUGGUUCAGGACUUGCCCCUCCAGCAUCAUGGCAUCAGGUUGGGACAUAGCCUUUCUGGAACCCUCACCACAGUCCAGAGCCACCUGGAGGUCCCUCAUGCUCCCACACUUUGGCAUGUGCUGUUCCCUAGGCCUCGUGUGCCCUGUCCCUUAUCUAGGUGAUAGGCUUCCUUUAUCCUCAGGUGCCAGUUCUGCUCCUCCUGGAGGGGAGCACUGCCAAAACCUCCCGUGUCAGUGCUGGAAGGAGAAACUCCCGGGGCCCCAAGGGGGCUGGAAAGAAAGGCCCUGUCACAUGUCCCUUGGGAUCUCUUGGACCUCAGAGUGCUUGUCUGCUGCAUCCUUAAUGUUGUGACUCAAGUAUGGACAUAAAUCUCCCCAUCAAGUGGACACCUGCUGGAUCUUUUCCACAGUGGCCUCACCGAUUCGUAAAGGAAGUUGCUGAAAAGCAAACGCUGGAGUCUGAACAGCCCAGGCAGCAGCCCCCUCUGAUGCUGCCCAGGGGAGCCCAUGCUUGGGCCCCUCCCACUGCAUCCUCCACAGAGGUGUCUCCUCUGCAGCCCAGGGCCUGGCACUGGAGGGCAGUUCCACAGGGCAGCACUGUAUAGUAUUCCUUGGAUGAAUUAAUGAACUCUCUGGCACCACAUUUCCUGAGCUCUCUGCUCUGGGCUGCCUUCAUGGAGAGACAGCUCCUGCAUGCCUGGUCCUGCAACAGGCUCAUCUUACCUUGUAGUCCUCCUCUCUCACACAGCUGGCUCCUUCCUUCUCAAUGCUCCCACUAGCCCCACCGCCCCACUUCUCUUUCCUCUGCCCCUGCAUUGAUCACACUGUGAUGGCACGGUGACAACUGUCCCAACCUCCUGCCCCAGGAAGACAUGGAGCCUGCCACGCAAACUCUGACCUGGGACUGCUCCGUGCCUGCCCUUAUAGGUACUGCUCACAUCUUAUUGGGCACUUGAACACAAGCCCACCCACAGGCGGACCAGCAUCCUAUGAGGUGGCUUGGCACGAAACUCUGUCCAAUUGGCAAGGCCAGACCUGAGCUAGCCGAUCAGAUCACCUCUCAGUCUUGGGCCGCCGAACUCAAGAAACAGGUACAAGAAGACAAGGAAAAGAGCCUGCGUGCAGCUUUAGGUUCUCCCGUGCUGUGCUGGAGGCAGCCCCCAGUUGAUCGGAGCUGACACCUGGUGACAUUUCUGGACCACAGAAUCUCUCAGGUUCUUUUCACGAGAGGAUCCCCUGCUCUCUGAAUCUGGCUGUGACCCUCUCCAGGUCUUCAGCCUCAUGACCCAUUAUCCAUCACCGAAUGCCAGAACCUGCCGCAGGUGGUAAACAGGAGAAAAGGAGGAAGAACAGAGGGAAGAGGACAGUUACAGGUUCUGAGUGACCAUCAUGGACAGAAGAAAGGACAGAAGUCACAGCAUCAGGAGCCCUAUCUGUAUACCAAGACAACAGGGGCCUGAUGACGCAGCUGAUGGGGAGAAGAGAGGAAUUCAGGGAUACCCGAGUAAGUGCCGGGGCUUCCUAUAAAAGGGCAUCAGGAAUGAGCCUCCAUGGAGAACCCUGGGUGCCUGUGAUCUUGGACAGGGAUCCCUUCAAGGGUAAGAGCCAGACCUGCAAACUGGUCUGUCUGCAGCAGGGGCUGUGGGUGCAACAUUGGGAAGAAAAAAAAAAGUUAAAAAUUGUCAUUUUAUGUCUUUGGGAAAUUUUUGUAAACUCUCUGCCUAAGGUCUGUAUGUAUGGUAAUGAUAUUGUUCUUUUAUUUUAAUUUUUAGAAUUGAUUUUUGGACAGUGUAUUGAGAAGAACAUGGGACUGGGAAUCAGGUCACUUUGGUGGUAAACAGGUGAAAACUUUGCCUCCAAUGUGUGUGACCUUGGGUAGUCUGCACCCCCUCUCUGAGUCUCAGUCUGCCCUGUCUGUCCCAGCACUCGCUCCUGCUGGGACUCGACAGUGGAGAAGAAGGUUAGACUGAGUGACACAUGCAGUUUCCAUUCCGUGACCCAGAUGUGGUUUGAGGUAGCACCUCUCAAACCCCAACCCCUGAUUAGAUUCUGCAUCCCUGACCGCCUGUCCGGGGAAGCAGAAAGAGGGCAGGGGAGGGGCCUGUGAGUUUGUCCCAGUGGCACCUUUACACAGAGGCAGGAUUCCAGGACACUGGGCCGGGACUGACGUAGUGGAGAGGGAAGGAGGGAGGGACGCAGAGACAGGAGAGGGUGGCACUGGGAAAGAGCCACUGGCUCUGAAGUCAGAGGGCCUGGGUUUGAAUUCCAGAUUCCAGUGUGUCCUGGUUACGUGACCUCGAGCUGAUCACACCACUCUCUGAGCCUCCAGUUUCUCACCUGUCAAAUGGGGAGAAAUGACCAUUUUUCUCACCUGAGUGAGGCCUGUCCUGGGCCUGGUUAGCUGUAUUAUAAGUCAUAGCAUUUUAUGGUCUAGAGGACCCUUAGUGACCUUGAGUCCCUGUUCAGAUGGAGGAAGGUAGGCCACCAUGGUAGUGACUCCUGAAAAGUCUUACACUUGAGUCGAUCACAGGCCUCUUUGAUGCCUUCUUGCUUCUUAAAGCACCUAAGGGGUGUCCCUAAGUAUUGCUAAGGACCCCAGAGGGCUGGGGGACAGAGGAGACCUGAUGUCUGCCCCAAUCUAUCUCCCCAGGCUUGGCUACUUUCUUCCAGAGGAGUGACUGAGCCUUGUUGUUUUUCCUUUUCGGCAUUUUUCUUAUUCUUUUUGUGUGGCUGUGUUGAGAUCCGACACCACUUUAAUGGGUGAGCAAGCAAGUUGUGGUGCAUGUGGCGUGCACUGGACAGAGGUGACAGAGUGGCCCACCGGACCCUGGCUAGGCGGCCUUGGAAAAGAUGUUCCCAGUGAGCAGCUUGGCUGCAUGUCCUUUCCGUCCACUGGGUACCUCAUGUUCCAGAGACCUGCAGGAGGAAGGGCGUAGGUCACACCGUAUUUCUGUGGCAGCAGCUCAAGUGUAGAGAGAGAAAACACUUCAGAAGUGACUCAGGGACUUGGGGUCACAUGGAAUCUUUAGAACACUGGCCCACAUCAUUGUCAACAGCCAGCCUGCUCCUGCCCCCUUGCCCUACCUAUUAAGGGUUGAAUUUUGUCCCCCCAAAUGACAUAUUGAAGUCCCUGUGUGUCUGUGUCUCAGUGUGCAGUUUCCUUCCUUUUUUAGAUACUAGUCAUGGCUCGGUGCACGUAGCACAGUGGUUACAGCGCCAGCCACACACACCAAGGCUGGCAGGUUCAAACCCGGCCUGGGACAGCUAAACAACAAUGACAACUGCAAUAAAAAAAACACCUGGGAGUUGUGGUGGGCACGUGUAGUCCCAGCUACUUGGGAGGCUGAGGCAAGAGAAUCGCUUAAGUCUAAGAGUUGGAGGUUGCUGUGAGCUGUGAUGCCACGGCCCUCACUGAGGGUGACAUAGUGAGAUUCUAUCUCAAAACAAUUGAAGAAAAAAAUAAAGACACUAGUCAUAUUGAAUUUAGGGUUCACCCUAACCCAAUAUAACCUCAUCUUAACUUGCUUAUAUCUGCAAAGACCUUAUUUCCAAAUAAUCUCACAUUCUCCUCUUCAUCUUAAGUGGGGAGGGUCCAGCCCACUCUGGAGAAGCCUCUUUGCUAAGCUGCGUCUCUCUCUCUGUCUCUGAAACCCUCUGGGGAGGCCCAGGGUUUGCGGUGAGAAGGUGAGGGCGUGGGCUCUGAGCGUCCCAGCCAGACGCUGUCUAGACACUGUCUGGAAGGAUGAGCUCUUUUAGGUUCCAGGAUGGGUCAUUAGCUUCCCAGACCUGCUGUAACCAACAAGGAGACUUAAAACAACAGAUGUGUAUUCUCCCUGAGUCCUGGAGGCUAGAAGUCCAAAAUCAAUGUGUCAGCAUGGCCAUGACCUCUGUCUGAAGGCUCUAAGGGAGGAACCUCCCAAGUAGUGGGGACUGCAGGCACAUGCCACCAUGCCCAGCUAAAUUUUAAAAUUCUCAGUAGAGAAGAGGUCUCCCUAUGUUGCCCAGGCUGAUCUUGAACUGGUGAUCCUCCAGCCUCGGUCUCCCUGAAGGCCAGGGUUACAGGUGUGAGCCAUUACACCCCACCCUGAUGAUUCUUCAACUCCUUACCCUGCCUGUCACCUAAGCUGCUAUGCUAACUCCUCUAGCAAUGGAAGAGAAAAGGGACUAUUAUUAUUAUUUGAGAGGGAUUUUUAUGUAAUAUAUAUAUUUGUUCAGGUAUAAUUUACCUGAGUGACAUUCAUCCUUCUAAGGCUACAUUUCUAUGAAUACAAUCAUGUCACCACUACCACGAUCAAAUGUAGAAUCAUUCCAUCACCACAGGAAGUUCUGAGCUCCUUUGCAGUCAGUCCCCUUUUCCAUCCCCAGCCACUGGCCAUCACUGAUCUGGUUUCUUCUCCUUUAGUUUUGCCACAUCUAAAAUGUUAUACAAAUGGAAUCAUAUAUUAUGAAGCUUUUUGAGUCUGGCUUCUUUCACUUGGUGUAAUACUUCUGAGAGUCAUCUGUGCUGUUUUAUGUAUUAGUAAUUCAUCGCUUUUUAUUGUGGAGUAGUUGUUUAUUUAUGCACAUCCCACAAUUUAUUUAUCCAUUCCCCAGCUGAUAAACAUUUGAAUUGUUUCCAACUUUUGAGAAUUGUGAAUAAAGUUGCCAUGAACAUUGGUGUGUAGAAAUGAAUUCGGAGGCAGGAAGAAGUCCACGUGGCAAUGUGACAACGGAGGCAAAGAUUGGAGGGACGCGUCUCAGAGCCAAGAAUCACCAAGGACCGCCAGAACGACCAGAAGGCAGGGAGAGGCAGGGAAGGACUCUUUCCCAGAGCCUUCGGGGAAGGAACGAACCUGCCAACACUUUGAUGGCAGACAUCUGGUCCCAGCACUCUCAGAGAAUAAAUUCUUGUUAUUUUAAGCUACUGGUUUGUGAUAAUUUGGAAACCACAACAUUCCCCAUCAAAGAGAGCAGGCCAGAGGCUCUGUUCUUCCUGUAGUGGCACCUGGAGCAGGUCAACAUCUCCUCUCGGACCCUCAGUCUCGUCUUUUGCUGAGUGGAGACACAUAUUCCCACUCUAAAGCCUGGACUUGAGGCACCUAUGUGAUCGGCUAUGUUUGUGAAGGGCUCUAAAAAUCCUUCCUGCGAUGUCAUCAAAGGAGUUCGUAGUAACUGUCAUUUGGUCACUCAACAAAUAUUUAUUCCUCAUGUGUGCCAGGCACUGUUCUAGGCUGGGAUCUACCAAGGGGCAAGACAGAUAAGGCCUUGACUUCAUGGGGCUCACAAUCUAAAGAGAGUGGGGACAGCAGGAGGGAAGGGAGUAGACCACUAAACUGGAUGAUUUCGGAAAACAAGUGCUGUGACUUGGUGGAGGAGAAGGGUGUUGUACCUCCAGGCUGGGUUAUUGGAGGUCUUAC